rnacentral:rRNA from 1 species
AGCAGCCGCGGUAAUUCCAGCUCCAAUAGCGUAUAUUAAAGUUGUUGCAGUUAAAAAGCUCGUAGUUGAAUUUCGGGAUUCUACCGUUGGUCGGGCUAUCCAGUCUGUACUAGUGUGUAGAAUUUCUACCUUCUGGGGAACCACCAUGUUAUUAAUUUAGCGUGAUGGGAAACCAGGACCUUUACCUUGAAAAAAUUAGAGUGUUCAAAGCAGGCUUACGUCUGAAUACAUUAGCAUGGAAUAAUAAAAUAGGACGGUGGUCCUGUUUUGUUGGUUUCUGAAUCACCGUAAUGAUUAAUAGGGAUAGUUGGGGGCAUUAGUAUUCAAUUGUCAGAGGUGAAAUUCUUGGAUUUAUUGAAGACUAACUUCUGCGAAAGCAUUUGCCAAGGAUGUUUUACAUUAAUCAAGAACGAAGUUAGGGGAAUCGAAGACGAUCAGAUACCGUCGUAGUCUUAACCAUAAACUAUGCCGACUAGGGAUCGGACGAUGUUAAAUAUUAUUGACUCGUUCGGCGUCCUUA